rnacentral:rRNA from 1 species
CAGAGGGUGCGAGCGUUAAUCGGAAUUACUGGGCGUAAAGCGUGCGUAGACGGCUAUCUAAGUCGGGUGUGAAAGCCCCGGGCUCAACCUGGGAAUUGCAUUCGAGACUGAAUAGCUAGGGUACGGUAGAGGGAAGUGGAAUUUCCGGUGUAGCGGUGAAAUGCGUAGAUAUCGGAAGGAACAUCAGUGGCGAAAGCGACUUCCUGGACCAGUACCGACGUUCAGGCACGAAAGCGUGGGGAGCAAACAGGAUUAGAUACCCUGGUAGUCCACGCCAUAAACGAUGAGGACUAGACGUUGGAAGGGUAAGCCUUUCAGUGUCGUAGCUAACGCGCUAAGUCCUCCGCCUGGGGAGUACGGCCGCAAGGUUG